rnacentral:misc_RNA from 1 species
GGCAUAUUGAAGACUAUAAUUGCUCACACCUCCUAGUUAAGCCCUUUAUUACAGAAAUAUCGGCAUGAAUACCCAAUAACGUAAAAAGAAAGAUAGGCACUGAACUCUAGGACACGCAAGGAAUUCAAAUCAAUGGCUCUUCUCUAAAACACCAGUUUCUCUCCCUUCUCUUUAAGUUCCGGCUUUUGGGCCUUAAGUUUGGGGGAAGAUCUGGCCUUUGGCCGCCGAUCAUAUUAGUUAAAAGUUAUUUUCUCUGUUUUUGGUUGUUAAGUCUCCCUGUGGAAUUUCAGUAGCCCUUGCGGAUGGGGAUUAGCGUGGUUUGUUUUUGUGCCUACUGCAUGUUGGUUUUGAGAGCAUCAAUUAUGGUGGUGAUGGGUUGAGUUGAGAAGCCUGUUGGCUGGCGGUUUGGGCAUCGCUUGUGGGGCGAGAGGAGAUUGAGAAGCCUGUGUCUCUGCCACACUGGUCCUCACCCAGAGGUUCCUCGGGCAGUGUGCUACUUAACUCCCUUGCUUUUGAUGGUUCUGAUUGAGGAGCUUAUCCUCCUAUUUUGGUCUCCCUUUUGUGCUUCAGGUUCUGCAUGUGUAUCCUCCCCUUCGGCUGCCUCAGAUGGUCGGUCUACAGUUGGAGUCAUCCUCGGUAAAGUCGGCUGAGAUGCGGGUCAACCCGUUUUAGUUCUAGGGUUUCUCUUUGAUUUGGGCUUUGAACCCUUAGUUUUUUAUGGAUUUAAGGAAAGUUUUGUAACAUUCUGUAUUUUUUGGGCACGCCUUGAAGUGUUUUAUCAUCAAAUGAACUAAUGAAGGAUUCUAAUUUUCUGUUAAAAAUAAAAUAAAAUAAAAUAAAGCUCAAUUUGUCCGG